rnacentral:rRNA from 2 species
AGGCCUAAUACAUGCAAGCCGAACGGCAAAUUGAGUAGCAAUACUUGAUCUAGAGUGGCGUAAGGGUGCGUAACACGUAUGCAAUCUGCCCGCAACAGGAGGAUAGCUCCCCGAAAGGGGAAUUAAUACUCCAUAAGAUCACGAGAGGGCAUCUGAUUGUGAUUAAACUACAAGGGGUUGCGGAUGAGCAUGCGGUUGAUUAGCUAGUUGGUAGUGUAACGGACUACCAAGGCGAUGAUCAAUAGGGGAACUGAGAGGUUUAUCCCCCACACUGGCACUGAGAUACGGGCCAG